rnacentral:rRNA from 1 species
UACGUAGGUGACGAGCGUUGUCCGGAUUUACUGGGCGUAAAGGGCGCGUAGGCGGCCACCGCAAGUCGGUUGUGAAAUCUCCGGGCUUAACCCGGAAAGGUCAAUCGAUACUGCGGGGCUAGAGUGCAGAAGGGGCAACUGGAAUUCUCGGUGUAGCGGUGAAAUGCGUAGAUAUCAAGAGGAACACCUGAGGUGAAGACGGGUUGCUGGGCUGACACUGACGCUGAUGCGCGAAAGCUAGGGGAGCAAACGGG